GUCUAGUUACCAUCAUUAAGUUGGGGACGUCUAGCGAGACUGCCAGUGAUAAACUGGAGGAAGGUGGGGAUGACGUCAAAUCAUCAUGCCCCUUAUGACCUGGGCUACAAACGUGAUACAAUGGCUGAAACAAAGGGCAGCGAAGCAGUGAUGUGGAGCGAAACCCAAAAAAGCAGUCUCAGUUCGGAUUGAAGUCUGCAACUCGACUUCAUGAAGUUGGAAUCGCUAGUAAUCGUAGAUCAGAACGCUACGGUGAAUACGUUCUCGGGGUUU
rnacentral:rRNA from 1 species